UACGGAGGGUGCAAGCGUUAUCCGGAUUCACUGGGUUUAAAGGGUGCGUAGGCGGGCAGGUAAGUCCGUGGUGAAAUCUCUGAGCUUAACUCAGAAACUGCCAUGGAUACUAUUUGUCUUGAAUGUUGUGGAGGUAAGCGGAAUAUGUCAUGUAGCGGUGAAAUGCUUAGAUAUGACACAGAACACCGAUUGCGAAGGCAGCUCACAAAACUGUAACUGACGCUGAGGCACGAAAGCGUGGGUAUCAAACAGG
rnacentral:rRNA from 1 species